AUUCCAGCUCCAAUAGCGUAUAUUAAAGUUGUUGCAGUUAAAAAGCUCGUAGUUGGAUUUCUGGCAGGAUGACUUUGCCCUCUGUAGAGUGCGCAAUGCUGUCCUACCAUCCUUCUGUUAACCCUGGAGGCCUUUAACAGCUUGUAGGGGGCUCAGAUAUUUUACCUUGAGAAAAUUAGAGUGUUUCAGGCAGGCUAGCGCCGGAAUACAUUAGCAUGGAAUAAUAGAAUAGGACUUAAGCCUCUUCUGUUGGUCUGAGGGGUGUAAGUAAUGAUUAAUAGGGAUAGUUGGGGGCAUUAGCACUUAACUGUCAGAGGUGAAAUUCUCGGAUUUGUUAAAGACUAACUUAUGCGAAAGCAUUUGCCAAGGAUGUUUUCAUUA
rnacentral:rRNA from 1 species